rnacentral:lncRNA from 1 species
ACGGAUUUAAACAAAAAUACGUUAAUUUUGAAUGAUAUUUCUAUUGUUAAUAAAUUUCCUGAUGUAUUCCCCGAAGAACUUCCUGGCCUACCCCCUGAGCGUGAAAUUAAAUUUUGUAUCGACCUUGAACCCGGUACAAAACCCAUUUCCAAAGCCCCAUAUCGAAUGGCUCCUAUUGAACUUCAGGAGUUAAAGACCCAACUGCAGGAAUUGUUAGACAUUGGC